rnacentral:rRNA from 1 species
CGGCGGACGGGUGAGUAACGCGUGGGUAACCUGCCUCAUACAGGGGGAUAACAGUUAGAAAUGACUGCUAAUACCGCAUAAGACCACGGUACCGCAUGGUACAGUGGUAAAAACUCCGGUGGUAUGAGAUGGACCCGCGUCUGAUUAGGUAGUUGGUGGGGUAACGGCCUGCCAAGCCGACGAUCAGUAGCCGACCUGAGAGGGUGACCGGCCACAUUGGGACUGAGACACGGCCCAG